rnacentral:lncRNA from 1 species
CUUCACCUGACUGAAGCAUUGGGACUUGAUGCACAGCUUAGAUCGCACGUUCCGAGGGUAGACAACUUCCCAAUCUACAGCAGGACUUCUCCUCCCGAGGUUGUUGGGAAAUGGUACUGUUAGAAACCGAACUAAUGAAAAAUUAGAGUUACCGAUCUGGUAGCCUUUGUUUUUCAAUUUUAACAAACUAUUCACAUUU